CACGUAGGGUGCGAGCGUUGUCCGGAUUCAUUGGGCGUAAAGAGCGUGUAGGCGGCCAGGUAGGUCGGUUGUGAAAACUGGAGGCUCAACCUUCAGACGUCGACCGAAACCAUCUGGCUAGAGUCCGGGAGAGGAGAGUGGAAUUCCUGGUGUAGCGGUGAAAUGCGCAGAUAUCAGGAGGAACACCGAUAGCGAAGGCAGCUCGCUGGGGACGUGACUGACGCUGAGACGCGAAAAGCGUGGGGGAGCAAAACAGG
rnacentral:rRNA from 1 species